AUUGAACGCUGGCGGCAGGCCUAACACAUGCAAGUAGACCUGAGUUGAGGACGGGUGAGUAAUGUCUGGGAAACUGCCUGAUGGAGGGGGCUAACUACUGGAAACGGUAGCUAAUACCGCAUACUAUCAGAUGAGCCUAGGUGGGAUUAGCUAGUUGGUGGGGUAACGGCCUACCAAGGCGACGAUCCGUAACUGGUCUGAGAGGAUGAUCAGUCACACUGGAACUGUGACACGGUCCAGACUCCUACGGUAGGCAGCAGUGGGGAAUAUUGGACAAUGGGCGAAAGCCUGAUCCAGCCAUGCCGCGUGUGUGAAGAAGGUCUUCGGAUUGUAAAGCACUUUAAGUUGGGAGGCGUUACCAACAGAAUAAGCACCGGCUAACUUCGUGCCAGCCGCCGCGGUAAUAC
rnacentral:rRNA from 1 species